rnacentral:rRNA from 1 species
CACGUAGGGUGCGAGCGUUGUCCGGAAUUAUUGGGCGUAAAGAGCUCGUAGGCGGUCUGUCACGUCGGCUGUGAAAACCCGAGGCUCAACCUCGGGCCUGCAGUCGAUACGGGCAGACUAGAGUUCGGUAGGGGAGACUGGAAUUCCUGGUGUAGCGGGGAAAUGCGCAGAUAUCAGGAGGAACACCGGUGGCGAAGGCGGGUCUCUGGGCCGAAACUGACGCUGAGGAGCGAAAGCGUGGGGAGCGAACAGG